GAGUUUGAUUCUGGCUCAGAUUGAACGCUGGCGGCAUGGCUAAAACAUGCAAGUCAGGGAGAAUCCCUUCGGGGAGGACACCGGCGGACGGGCGAGGAAUGCGAUCGAACGUACCCUGAGCUGGGGGAUAGCGUCUGGAAACGGACGGUAAGACCCCAUGUGCUCCACGGAGGAAAGCUUCGGCGGCUCGGGAUCGGCGAUCGUCCUAUCAGGUUGUUGGUGAGGUAACGGCUCACCAAGCCGAAGACGGGUAGCGGGUGUGAGAGCAUGACCCGCCGCAUCGGGACUGAGACACUGCCCGGACUCCUACGGGAGGCUGCAGUAACGAAUCUUCCGCAAUGGACGAAAGUCUGACGGAGCAAUGCCGCGUGUGGGAUGAAGCGUCUAGGCGUGUAAACCACUGUCAGGUUGUAGGAACACUGACCGCAACCAGAGGAAGGGCCGGCUAACCUCGUGCCAGCAGCCGCGGUAAUACGAGGGGCCCGAGCGUUAUUCAGAAUCACUGGGCUUAAAGCGUGCGCAGGCGGGCCUGCAGGCAUCUUGUGAAAUCCCACCGCUCAACGGUGGAACAGCAGGGUGAACCGCACGCCUUGAGACAGGUAGGGCCGACGGAACGAUGCGUGGAGC
rnacentral:rRNA from 1 species